GGCGGAUUGGCUUAUUUUUCUUUUUGGUGUGUGCUAGGGUUAUAGGUUAGGCAAACUAUUGUUUUGUUGUUGUAUUUUAUUGAUUUAAUACUUUGAAUUAUAGUUUACUUGUACUGUGGGGGUUUAUUGAUUUGUUUUUGUAAGUAGUCUUUAAUUGUCGUACCUUGUGUCUCAGGGUUUAUUAAUUUUUAUUAUUUAUUUUUAUUUCCCGAUCUCAGAGGAGUUAAGUAUUUAUUUUAGUUACUGUUUCAUUAUUAUUAAUAAUAUUUACUUGGUAGUGAUAUGUUAAUCGUUUCUGGAGGUAUCUGGUUCCUUGAGAAGUGAAUUUAAUUCGUGCUUUUUGUUUAGAGCUCAUUUUUGUUUGUUUGGCUUAACAGUUGGCAAAGGUGUUGGGGGACAAGCUUCGGCACUAUUUUUAUAAUAUUUUUGUUUGGUCUAUCUUGUGGGCUUUAUGUUGGCCACCUAUUUGAGUAUUUUAAAAUUCUGUUUUCUGUAUUUUUGAUUUUCUUUUAUUUAAUGUUUUUAUUGGGGUGUUUGGUUUAAUUUUUUAUUUGUAGUAUUUUUGGUUAAAUUAGUAUAUUUGAUUUUAUUUGAUUUGGUUUGAUGUCAUGCUUUUUAAAGGAAUUAGGCAAAGAUUUAAUGUCCGCCUGUUUAACAAAAACAUCUCUUCUUGUUUGUUGAUUUGAAGUAUGGCCUGCCCGCUGAGGUUAUUGAAGGGCCGCGGUAUUUUGACCGUGCAAAGGUAGCAUAAUCAUUAGCUCUUUAAUUGUGAGCUGGUAUGAAUGGUUUGACGAGGCAUUAACUGUCUUUAACUUAAGGGUUGUUGAAUUUGUUUUUUAGGUAAGAAUACCUGGAUUUUUUUAUGGGACGAGAAGACCCUAUAGAGUUUUAUAUGACGCAUUUCCUUUAGUUUGUUGUGUUUGUGGGGUGUUGGUUUAUAUUUUGUUGGGGCGAUGAGAAGGUAGGUGUAACCCUUCUUUUAUUGUGUUUUCACUUAUUUGUGCUUUUUUGAUCCUUUUUAUUGAUUGUAAGACUAAAUUACCUUAGGGAUAACAGCAUAAUCUUUUUUGAGAGUUCUUAUUGACAAAAGGGUUUGUGACCUCGAUGUUGGAUUAAGAUGAAUUUUUGGUGUAGAGGCUUUAUUGUUUUGAUUAGGUCUGUUCGACCUUUAAAAUCUUACAUGAUCUGAGUUCAAACCGGCGUGAGCCAGGUUGGUUUCUAUCUAUAAUUUUCUUUUAUUUCUUAGUACGAGAGGACCAGACGUUUGGAAUAAUUUUCUUGUUUUGAGGUUUAUUAAUUU
rnacentral:rRNA from 1 species